rnacentral:rRNA from 1 species
GACGAACGCUGGCGGCGUGCCUAAUACAUGCAAGUAGAACGCACAGUUUAUACCGUAGCUUGCUACACCAUAGACUGUGAGUUGCGAACGGGUGAGUAACGCGUAGGUAACCUGCCUGGUAGCGGGGGAUAACUAUUGGAAACGAUAGCUAAUACCGCAUAAUAUUGAUUAUUGCAUGAUAAUUGAUUGAAAGAUGCUAUUGCAUCACUACCAGAUGGACCUGCGUUGUAUUAGCUAGUAGGUGAGGUAACGGCUCACCUAGGCGACGAUACAUAGCCGACCUGAGAGGGUGAUCGGCCACACUGGGACUGAGACACGGCCCAGACUCCUACGGGAGGCAGCAGUAGGGAAUCUUCGGCAAUGGACGAAAGUCUGACCGAGCAACGCCGCGUGAGUGAAGAAGGUUUUCGGAUCGUAAAGCUCUGUUGUAAGAGAGGAACGGGUGUGAGAGUGGAAAGUUCACACUGUGACGGUAUCUUACCAGAAAGGGACGGCUAACUACGUG